rnacentral:rRNA from 1 species
UACAGAGGUCCCCAAGCGUUGUUCGGAUUCAUUGGGCGUAAAGGGUGCGUAGGCGGCGCGGUAAGUCGGGUGUGAAAUCUCGGGGCUUAACUCCGAAACUGCAUUCGAUACUGCCGUGCUUGAGGACUGGAGAGGAGACUGGAAUUUACGGUGUAGCGGUGAAAUGCGUAGAUAUCGUAAGGAAGACCAGUGGCGAAGGCGGGUCUCUGGACAGUUCCUGACGCUGAGGCACGAAGGCCGGG